CAGUCACUCUGGGAAGCAAUAAGCUGAUUGUGCGUCUGAUUUUUCUGGAGCAACACCGGGGGGCUGAGGAUGAGUAAGUGCUAAAAAGGGAUAACUCACGUCCACCUCAGUCUCCACCUCCCCCAACCCCAGCUUGAGAAACUGUAACGUCGAAUAGCAUUUCCCAUGGGCAUAAAGUUCAAGCUGCUUUACCAGUUCCUUUCAGGAUCGAACUGCAGCCACAAGACGACCAUCCAAAGAAUGUAAAAAGGGAGUGUUCGGGGAAAGCGUGCAAGGAAGGCAGAAGCAACCGAAUAAACAAAAACAACACCCGCAAGAGUUAGGCACAGCAAAGAGGGAGCCAGGUUCCUCUGGACCAGACCAAGCAGUUCUGAUUUCACACCGACCUCCAUCAAGAGCACUGGGAGAAGGAUCGAACAGGUCCGUCCCUCCCUCCGCCCUGGGAGCAGGCCGGGGGUGGCAAGGUCUCUGGUGUACGAGGAUUUGUGAAGGCCUGCAGUUGGCAGAAUGAAUCUGUGGAGAUGGUUUAAAAGAACGGUUUCACUGAAGACAUGAACAUCUAGAGAGUCACAUGUCUAUGGGGAAUUGGAAUGCUGAGGAAUGGAAACAAAUGGAAAUAUAUUACACAAGUGGAACUUCAGCUGUGACCUGAAAUGUAUUACCUAAGAACUCUGUACAGAUGAAGAUGAAGAAGGACCAUUUUCUCUGGGACUUGGGCUCUCACGCGUAUUAGACCCAGCCACUGAUAGGAGCUGCCGAUUUCAUGUGAAGUGAUCAGUUGCUUUUUGUGCUCUGAAGGUGCUGAUUUCCAACAACUGCAAUGUUACAUCCAUGAGUUCUUCCAGCUUUGAAACUGGAAACUGAGCGCUCCAAGCAAGAAGAUCCCUUUUCUUCUGCUGCUAUGCCGGGGAAACGUUGAGAUUACUUCAGCCAAAAUAACAUUUCUGCCAGCUGACAUCCUAACUCAGAGAGGCAGCUAGUCGUGCUAACAAAACGAUGUUUGGUCAUAAAGGAGUGUGAUGAAACUUUCGCUUUAUCUUUUUCUAUCUCAAUACCACAAUAUGGAGACGAGUUAUUUUCUUAAAGUACUUGUCACCUGCUUUGUGAUUGUGAUUUUACUUGGCUGCCUUCUCUGCGAGAUUAUAGGCUUCAUGAGGACAGUUUUCCUCCUCAUUGUAUCCUCAAUACAGUAACAACGUUUUUUUUUGAAGAAAUGAAUAA